rnacentral:rRNA from 1 species
UACAGAGGGUGCAAGCGUUAAUCGGAGUUACUGGGCGUAAAGGGCGCGUAGGCGGUGAGAUGAGUGUGAUGUGAAAGCCCCGGGCUUAACCUGGGAAGCGCAUCGCAAACGAUCUGACUGGAGUAGAUGAGAGGGUGGCGGAAUUUCCGGUGUAGCGGUGAAAUGCGUAGAGAUCGGAAGGAACGUCAAUGGCGAAGGCAGCCACCUGGCAUCAUACUGAGCUGAAGCGCGAAAGCGUGGGGAUCGAACAGG